AGGAUUGACGAUGACGACCUGAUUUCUUAUCUAUUGGCGGGUCUGGACGUCGAACACAAUCCAUUGGUGGCAUCGAUUCUUGGGAGACCCACAACAGAUCCAAUUACUCUCAAUGAAUUCUAUGCUCAGCUCCUUAGCUAUGACA
rfam:Triticum urartu cultivar G1812 contig698792, whole genome shotgun sequence.